rnacentral:rRNA from 1 species
GUGNUUGCAGAAUUCAGUGAAUCAUCGAAUCUUUGAACGCACAUUGCGCCCGUCAGUAUUCUGGCGGGCAUGCCUGUUCGAGCGUCAUUACGCCCCUCAAGUCCCCUGUGGACUUGGUGUUGGGGAUCGGCGAGGCUGGUUUUCCAGCACAGCCGUCCCUUAAAUUAAUUGGCGGUCUCGCCGUGGCCCUCCUCUGCGCAGUAGUAAAGCACUCGCAACAGGAGCCCGGCGCGGUCCACUGCCGUAAAACCCCCCAACUUUUUAUAGUUGACCUCGAAUCAGGUAGGACUACCCGCUGAACUUAAGCAUAUCAAUAAGCGGAGGAAG